rnacentral:pre_miRNA from 13 species
GCUUGAGGAACAUACUUCUUUAUAUCCCCAUAUGAACCUGGCAAGCUAUGGAAUGUAAAGAAGUAUGUAUUUCAGGU